CCGACCUUAGCUCAGUUGGAAGAGCACAAGACUGUAAUUGGAUAAUAACUUAUCUUGGGGUCGCCUGUUCGAACCAGGCAGGUCGGA